rnacentral:rRNA from 1 species
GACGAACGCUGGCGGCGUGCUUAACACAUGCAAGUCGAACGGUGAAAGCGGAGCUUGCUCCGCUGGAUCAGUGGCGAACGGGUGAGUAACACGUGGGCAACCUGCCCCUCACUUCGGGAUAACUCCGGGAAACCGGGGCUAAUACCGGAUAUGACCUCCUUGGGCAUCCUUGGAGGUGGAAAGUUUUUCGGUGAGGGAUGGGCCCGCGGCCUAUCAGCUUGUUGGUGAGGUAGUGGCUCACCAAGGCGACGACGGGUAGCCGGCCUGAGAGGGCGACCGGCCACACUGGGACUGAGACACGGCCCAGACUCCUACGGGAGGCAGCAGUGGGGAAUAUUGCGCAAUGGGCGAAAGCCUGACGCAGCAACGCCGCGUGCGGGAUGACGGCCUUCGGGUUGUAAACCGCUUUCAGCAGGGAAGAAGCGAAAGUGACGGUACCUGAAGAAGAAGCACCGGCCAACUAUGUGCCAGCAGCCGCCGUAA